UUUGGUGGCGAUAGCGAAGAGGUCACACCCGUUCCCAUACCGAACACGGAAGUUAAGCUCUUUAGCGCCAAUGGUAGUUGGGACUUUGUCCCUGUGAGAGUAGGACGUUGCCAGGC
rnacentral:rRNA from 1 species